rnacentral:rRNA from 1 species
UACGUAGGGUGCGAGCGUUGUCCGGAAUUAUUGGGCGUAAAGAGCUCGUAGGUGGUCUGUCGCGUCUGGUGUGAAAAUCCAGGGCUUAACCCUGGACCUGCAUCGGGUACGGGCAGACUAGAGUGCGGUAGGGGAGAUCGGAAUUCCUGGUGUAGCGGUGAAAUGCGCAGAUAUCAGGAGGAACACCGGUGGCGAAGGCGGGACUCCUGGGCCGAAUGACUGACGCUGGAGGAGCGAAAGCGUGGGGAGCGAACAGGAAUUAGAUUACCCG